rnacentral:rRNA from 1 species
GGGGAAUAUUGCACAAUGGAGGAAACUCUGAUGCAGCGACGCCGCGUGAGUGAAGAAGUAGUUCGCUAUGUAAAGCUCUAUCAGCAGGGAAGAUAGUGACGGUACCUGACUAAGAAGCUCCGGCUAAAUACGUGCCAGCAGCCGCGGUAAUACGUAUGGAGCAAGCGUUGUCCGGAAUUACUGGGUGUAAAGGGAGCGCAGGCGGGCGAUCAAGUUGGAAGUGAAAUCCAUGGGCUCAACCCAUGAACUGCUUUCAAAACUGGUCGUCUUGAGUAGUGCAGAGGUAGGCGGAAUUCCCGGUGUAGCGGUGGAAUGCGUAGAUAUCGGGAGGAACACCAGUGGCGAAGGCGGCCUACUGGGCACCAACUGACGCUGAGGCUCGAAAGUGUGGGUAGCAAACAGGAUUAGAUACCCUGGUAGUCCACACCGUAAACGAUGAUUACUAGGUGUUGGGAGAUUGACCCUCUCAGUGCCGCAGUUAACACAAUAAGUAAUCCACCUGGGGAGUACGACCGCAAGGUUGAAACUCAAAGGAAUUGACGGGGGCCCGCACAAGCAGUGGAGUAUGUGGUUUAAUUCGACGCAACGCGAAGAACCUUACCAAGUCUUGACAUCCCUUGACGAUGCUGGAAACAGUAUUUCUCUUCGGAGCAAGGAGACAGGUGGUGCAUGGUUGUCGUCAGCUCGUGUCGUGAGAUGUUGGGUUAAGUCCCGCAACGAGCGCAACCCUUAUGGUCAGUUACUACGCAAGAGGACUCUGGCCAGACUGCCGUUGACAAAACGGAGGAAGGUGGGGAUGACGUCAAAUCAUCAUGCCCUUUAUGACUUGGGCUACACACGUACUACAAUGGCGUUAAACAAAGAGAAGCAAGACCGCGAGGUGGAGCAAAACUCAGAAACAACGUCCCAGUUCGGACUGCAGGCUGCAACUCGCCUGCACGAAGUCGGAAUUGCUAGUAAUCGUGGAUCAGCAUGCCACGGUGAAUACGUUCCCG